UCCUACACCACCCGCUGCUCUACUGCCAGAGCAACUCCAGAUCCCCCUAUUAGGCCCUGAGUUGGGGGGACAGACUCGACAAAGCCACCCCUAGAUGCCAGAGCGCAAGACGUGGUGAUCCCCAUGUCCUUGCUCUGAGCAUGACUCCAUCCCAGGUUGAUUUCACUCACCAUAUUUAAAAGUUUGUACCGCUCGAGAUGCAAAAAUUGACCACAAACUUUGAGAGAUAAAUCAAC
rnacentral:lncRNA from 1 species